AUAUCGCGACGAGUUUGAUCCUGGCCUCAGGACGAACGCUGGCGGCGUGCCUAACACAUGCAAGUCGAACGGAACUCUUUUGGAUCAAGGCUUCGGCCAAGUGAAUUUGAGUUUAGUGGCGAACGGGUGAGUAACGCGUGAGCAACCUGCCUUUCAGAGGGGGACAACAGUUGGAAACGACUGCUAAUACCGCAUAAUACAUUCGGGGGGCAUCCCCUGAAUGUCAAAGAUUUAUCGCUGAAAGAUGGGCUCGCGUCUGAUUAGAUAGUUGGUGGGGUAACGGCCUACCAAGUCGACGAUCAGUAGCCGGACUGAGAGGUUGAACGGCCACAUUGGGACUGAGAUACGGCCCAGACUCCUACGGGGGGCAGCAGUGGGGAAUAUUGGGCAAUGGGGGCGACCCUGACCCAGCAACGCCGCGUGAAGGAAGAAGGCUUUCGGGUUGUAAACUUCUUUUACCAGGGACGAAGACGUGACGGUACCUGGAGAAAAAGCCACGGCUAACUACGUG
rnacentral:rRNA from 1 species